GUCGGGGUGGGGCCUCUCGCCCUGGUCGGCGCGGAGUUGGUCCGGGAGGUUUUGGGGUGGUGCUCUCGAAGACGUGGAGGCGGUUUAAAUUAUAUCAUGCCGUUAGGAGUGUGGAUGUUUCGUCAAGCCAGUUCCCUCUCAGCAGAAGACCUUGCCUUUUACUUCCCAAGAGAAGUGCAAGAUCACCUCAAGGACAUGCGCAUCUUCCUGGGUUACUACUGUUCGACCCUCUGAGCAAAGCAAAGAGGAACUUUCUUUCUGGUGGGGAAAAACAGACAUUACGGAGUAAAAUGGCAAGACCCUCCUAGAAGAAGCCACAUGUUUUAAGGCACAGAAAACUAAAUGACUAAGGAUCAAGGCGGCAUUCAGAAGUGAGAUAAUAUUGGGUGCACCAUGGAUCCAUAAGUCCUAGAAAAUUAUGUGACACUGGGUUAUGAGCUGCAUUAAAGACAUGAGCAUUGGGAAUUUAUGCUGGAAUGUAUUUGAGUUAACUUUGCAGCCACGAAUGGCUUUGAAUUAUAAUAAAUAAUCUUAUGCUUUUCUGGUUCAUGUUUAUCUCCUUUGUUAAUUACAAAUAAUCAUUUUUCAGUUUGGAUGUGCACAGUGGAUUCAUUGCCAUUCUUAUAUUUUUUGUUUUUUAAUGUAAUAUAACUUGAAGAAGAAUUGUAAUAACAUUUGCUUUGGUAGAAGAGGCCCACUUAAAUUCACAGCAUGCCUGAAGUAAUAACAUUGUAAAUGUGGCAGGAAAUAUAAUAAAGAAUAACAAUAAAAUGUUGUAAGCAUUUUCUUGUAAAAAAUAUAGUUCCUUAAAGACUUUUAAUGUAUUGAAAUGUCAUAAAAACAUCAAGAAUGUUUGAAUUUCACACUUUUAACAUAGAUUCACUAACAGAAAUACUGUGUUCUUUUGAAAAAGGAAUAUCAUUCACUUGGACAAGAUAAAACAAAAUCAAAUUGAAAUAUAAUUAAAUCAACUGUUUAAUUUGAUUAAAACACUGGAGCAUUAUGAUUGUGCCAAUAUUCAAAUCUAAAUGGUAAAACGAAACUCUACACUACAAAACCGGACAAUUUCAAAGAAUACCUAGUGUCUUAAUUUCUACUAUGAUGUCUAAAUCUUAACAGAAAAAUGUAAUGACACUUGGGUGAAAGAAGCUACAUACCUUGAAUACUUUGGGCAAGAUUCUUCUAUACACAUGUUCUAAUUUUUUUUCAGAUCAUUAUAAAUGCUGUCUUAAGGUAUUAAAACUAAUUAAGAAACACAAUUAAGUUCUCUGUUUAAUACCAGCCUGAGUCUAAGCAUUGUCAAUGAAUAGCUAAUAUCUAAUAAUUGCUUCCCCA